GGUGUCUCUGUGGGCAUAAAAAGUCCAAAAUUUCUAUUCUUUUGGGGAAGCGGAAGCCUCAAUACCUUCAGAAAGGUGACCUCACAUGACACGUCUCCACUGUCAGUCUUGAGCAUCUGUGGCAGAAUCACCAAGUGAAUCCAAAUCAUCAAACUUCCUCACAAUUACAAGGAGUCCGUUCCCAUCUGCGAUCGCCCUGGCUGCUUUUCUCCAUGGCUUUACCAGUUGGGCUGGCCAGAUCUGCGAGUGGCAUUCGAGACAGAGGAAUACUGUGCAAGCACAGGUGUGGCUGCGCACAGUUUAUGAGGCCAGAAAAGGAAGCUUUCGGGGCAGAAGAGGAAGGUUUCGGGGCCAACGCCGCCCAUCCCUUGCAGGCUGCGUGUACCUGCCACGCUGUGGUCGGGUGUUCUUGUUUGUGGAAAGCUGCAAAUGAAGGGUGUUGAAGUUUCGGCACUCCCGUCUUACGAGGGAGCGAAGAGACUCUUACCUUCCACCAGCGAGGUCAGCAGGGUGACGUUUGCAGCUUUGCGCCUUCCUGCAGGACACCGAGCUGGCUUCGGAGGCAUCCCCUGCCCGCAGCAGGGAGCGUGCUGGGGAGCUCCCGGGAGCGCCGUGCCCCUUACCUGCGCAGGACCCCGCCGAGGAGGGAGGCGUUGAGACACUCGGGG